GCCCCGAUCGAUCCCCCACGCACGCCGCCCAAUCGCCUGCUCGUCCGUCCUCGGCCCUCGCCAUCGUCGCCCUCCGCCUCCAGUCCUCCUCCUUUCUCCCCGCCAAUCGCCAUGGAUGCUGCUCGCCCUCUGCAGCCUGUAGACCUACUUGUUGUUGGCCGGUUCCCCAAGAGGCCAAGACCCCGAUCUCCACGAGGCCACCCAGGGCUAUGUGCUGCUUCUUUUGGUGCUAAUGCUUCAAUACUUCCCGUUCCCUCCCAGUUCAAAAGGAGCCCAUCUGUCGGGACUAGCAUCCACCAUUAUCCCAGAGGCCUGCUCUGUACGACCAGACCAAUUUUGGGCAUCUGUUAGAAGUGCUUUGCCCAUCCUGUUAAAACCAUCUAUGAAACUGGUGUCAAUAUUUUGAAACAGCACAUCGGAUCUACCGGCUUCAGCAAUAUGGAUUAUGAAAUGCUCCCCGGCUUUUGUAACAACCUCCUUAUCAAAUAUUUGAAUGCCUUCCAGAUGUUGAUACAUAGUUGUAAAGGAGUUGUGCAAGCCCAUGUACCCAAGGAAGCUUUUGUAACAACCUCCUUAUCAAAUAUUUGAAUGCCUUUCCAUGGGAGCAUAUCGGCACAUUCAAUGUACUUCGGCAACUGUCUUCUGAUUGCUUUCUUUUUUUCCUUGGGCAGACCUUCAGGAAUCUCUGUUUUGUUCUCCUGGAUUCUCUUAUCCUUUCCCAAACUUUUUUGUAAUGAACCCGGUCAGAUAGCCUGUUGGGCAAUCAAUAAUAGUGCACA